UCUGACAAUAUUUAGGGCCAUCCUCUGACACCGCCUGGUACAGAGGUCCUGGAUGGCAGGAAGCUUGGCCCCAGCAAUGUACUGGGCCGUACGCACUACUCUCUGUAGUGCCGUGCGGUCGGAGGACGAGCAGUUGUCAUACACGGCAGUGAUGCAACCAGUGCUCUCGAUGGUGCAGCUGUAGAACCUUUUGAGGAUCUGAGGACCCAUGACACAUCUGUUCAGUCUCCAGUAUAUACUGCACAUUUUACAUUUAUGAACACAAUUAUCAAUCUGUGUGUCUGUGUACUUGUGUGUAUAUUUGUGUGUUUGUAUAUACAUGUAUGUGUGUGUCUGUGUGUAUUUUCAUGUCUCUACCAGCACCAUCUCCAGUGCUAUCCAUGUCUCUACCCAGGCUGCUGUCUAGUCUCCUGAUGGGGUCUCCCUACCUACUGGUGGGGUCUCCCUAUCUAGUGGUGGGGUCUCCCUACCCAUAAAUGUGCUCAUAAUACAGGUCUCAUUCUUUCUCCAUGUGCAGGUCCAACUCCCAUUCCGUCUCCAGCAGUCCCAGUGUUGUCCAUGUCUCUACCCAGGCUGCUGUGUAGUCUACUGGUGGGGUCUCCCUACCUGCUGGUGACCAUCAUACUGCUGGUGAAAGGCUGCAGGAGCAGGACUCAAGGUGAAAUCAGGGUACCCAGGAAGACCCACCAAGACCAGUUAGGUGAUCGUGUUGAAGAAGAGUGAGGCUGAGAUCACCUGAUCACCAUAACAACCAUCAGAAUGGAACUUAUGGAAUUCUAAUAUAGAACUGUGAGUCACAAUGCUGUAUGUUGUUACAUUGUAGCUCCACCUGCUGGAACAAUAGUGGCAUUUGAUCUAAUGUGAUCUAUUAACUCAUACAUGUAUUAUUCUGAUUGGAAUGUGUUUUAAUAUAAUGUGUGUUGUAUUAUUCAUUCAGCAGCUGUCCAUUAACAUCAGUCAUAUACUGGUCAUAUACUGUGUAGCAUUAUGGUUGAUACAUUGUAAAUGCCUUCACUUCUCAUGUCUAUACAGAUCAACUGAUAGGUGUUGUGGUUCAGGCAUUAUUGUCACAGGUUCAGUAUAAUGUUAUACUGUUACAUGUUACAGAGAUAGAAAACAUA